UGGCAAGAGGGCAGCAGCUUGGAGCAGAGAUGUUGUUGGUCAGCACCAAGAAGGAGCUUUUCCUCCUGGAGCUGUCCUGUGCUUGGGGAACUCUCCCUGCCAGGAUUUUCCACGGCAUGACUGCCACAUCAGCUCAGCAUAAGCACCAGAGUGAGGAGCAAGCUCCCUUCCACUCCAAAAGGAGAAAGAAAAAGAAAGGAAGAGAGUCUCAGUUCCCUCAUCCCUGCUCCAGUGCUGUGUGUGAGCUGUGGUUGUUGAGCUGAGGCUUCACUUGGAGUUAUAAUGAUCCAAUCCAUCUCAGGAGGCUCCAAAUGUGUAUUAAUUAAUGCAAUGAUUGGGUGAUUUGGCCAUCAGUGCAGCUGUCUUUCAGCAGGAGAAAGAAAACCAUCUUCCUUCUCGCCGCCUCCCCGACGGCUCGGCGCAGAACACGAUGUAAGAGCAGGGUGAGUCACAGCCAAGGAUUUGUAUUCACCAUCGCUCCAGAUCACAUCAGCUUUGCCUAAUGCCUUGGCAAUAAAGUGCCUCUUCAUUGUA